GUCUACAGUCAUGCCACCCUGAACAAGCCCGAUCCUGUCUGAUCUCGGAAGCUAAGUAGGGUCGAGCCUGGUUAGUACUUGGAUGGGAGACCCCCCUAGGAAGACCAGGUGCUGUAGGCG
rnacentral:rRNA from 1 species